GGGAGCUAAGGUGAGGCCGAAAGGCGUAGCCGAUGCACAGACGGUAGAGAUUCCGUCACCACCAAAAGAGUUAAGCACAGGGACACAUAUGAAGUCUCAGAGCCGGGUGUUGGUUCCGGUAGAGAUCGAGGGAAAUUAGUACCGAAGUCUGAGAUGGAAGAUGGCGAGAAAAGCUGUGUGUAUUUCUGAGGUGCCCGUACCGCAAACCGACACAGGUAGGUAGGAAGAAGAUUCUAAGGCCAACGGGAGAAGGGUUGUUAAGGAACUCGGCAAAUUGACCCCGUAACUUCGGGAGAAGGGGUGCUCCAGAGAUGGAGCCGCAGAGAAUCGGCCCAAGCAACUGUUUACCAAAAACACAGGUUUGUGCUAAAUCGAAAGAUGACGUAUACGAGCUGACGCCUGCCCGGUGCUGGAAGGUUAAGAGGAGAUGUGCAAGCAUUGAAUCGAAGCCCCAGUGAACGGCGGCCGUAACUAUAACGGUCCUAAGGUAGCGAAAUUCCUUGUCAGGUAAGUUCUGACCCGCAUGAAAGGCGUAAUGAUUUGGGCACUGUCUCAACAGCCCGCCCGGCGAAAUUGUAGUACCGGUGAAGAUGCCGGUUACCCGCGACAAGACGGAAAGACCCCAUGGAGCUUUACUGUAGCCUAAUAUUGGGUUUCGAUGUUGCAUGCACAGGAUAGAUGGGACACUGGGAAGCAGGUGCUUUGGCGUUUGUGGAGUGGCCGUUGGGAUACCAUCCUUGCGAUAUUGGAAUUCUAACCUGCGCCUUUGAAUCAAGGCGGGGGACAUUGUUAGGUGGGCAGUUUGACUGGGGCGGUCGCCUCCUAAAGAGUAACGGAGGCGUUCAAAGGUUCGCUCAGCUUGAACGGAAAUCAAGCAAAAGAGUGCAAACGCAGAAGCGAGCCUAACUGCGAGACUGACGGGUCGAGCAGUAACGAAAGUUGGAGUUAGUGAUCCGGUGGUAUGUGAGUGGAAAUGCCAUCGCUCAACGGAUAAAAGUUACCCUGGGGAUAACAGGCUGAUCUCCCCCAAGAGUCCACAUCGACGGGGAGGUUUGGCACCUCGAUGUCGGCUCAUCGCAUCCUGGGGCUGUAUUCGGUCCCAAGGGUUUGGCUGUUCGCCAAUUAAAGCGGUACGCGAGCUGGGUUCAGAACGUCGUGAGACAGUUCGGUCCCUAU
rnacentral:rRNA from 1 species